AUGCCCCAGUAACGGCGAAGUGAAGCGGCAACAGCUCAAAUUUGAAAUCUGGCCUCGUGCCCGAGUUGUAAUUUGUAGAGGAUGCUUUUGGCGACGCGCCUUCCGAGUUCCCUGGAACGGGACGCCAUAGAGGGUGAGAGCCCCGUCCGGUCGUGCGCCUAGCCUCUGUAAAGCUCCUUCGACGAGUCGAGUAGUUUGGGAAUGCUGCUCUAAAUGGGAGGUAUACGUCUUCUAAAGCUAAAUACCGGCCAGAGACCGAUAGCGCACAAGUAGAGUGAUCGAAAGAUGAAAAGCACUUUGAAAAGAGGGUUAAAUAGUACGUGAAAUUGCUGAAAGGGAAGCGCUUAUGACCAGACUUGGGCGCGGCGGAUCAUCCGGCGUUCUCGCCGGUGCACUCCACCGCCCCAGGCCAGCAUCAGUUCGCGCCGGGGGAUAAAGGCUUCGGGAAUGUGGCUCUCUCGGGAGUGUUAUAGCCCGCUGCGUAAUACCCUGGCGCGGACUGAGGUCCGCGCUCUGCAAGGAUGCUGGCGUAAUGGUCAUCAGUGACCCGUCUUGAAACACGGACCAAGGAGUCGUCUUCGUAUGCGAGUGUUCGGGUGUCAAACCCCUACGCGGAAUGAAAGUGAACGUAGGAGAGAGCUUCGGCGCAUCUCCGACCGAUCCUGAUGUUCUCGGAUGGAUUUGAGUAAGAGCAUACGGGGCCGGACCCGAAAGAAGGUGAACUAUGCCUGUGUAGGGUGAAGCCAGAGGAAAACUCUGGUGGAGGCUCGCAGCGGUUCUGACGUGCAAAUCGAUCGUCAAACAUGGGCAUGGGGCGAAAGACUAAUCG
rnacentral:rRNA from 1 species